rnacentral:siRNA from 1 species
UGGUGGUGGUGGUGGUAAUGGUC